UGCCCCAUGAGCUUGGGGACAGGGGGCAGGGGACAGACUGGCAGAGCCUCCCAGGACACGUAGGAGGAGAAUCAGACACAACAGGUGCAAAGCUUGCUCUGAGGAAGACAGAAUGUUCCGGAGGGCAGGGAGCAGAUGCCAGGGCAUCUUGUGCUGUGAGCCAGCCUGGUGACUCUGGCUGUCCCUGGCAGUGGUAAUAUUGAUCCUGUGUCUUCCUUUGUGCUGAGCCCCAGUGGAUACCAUGGACAGCAGUGGAAAUGGCCCUUCCCUGCAACGCCGCUCUACGCCGUCAACAGAAUGUACUUUUCUCAUCAUGUUCACAAAAUACAUGGUGAAAAACAAUGUCAGUAAGAAGAGUUUGUUUCUGUUCACAGUCCCAGAUGUGUCCAUCAUUGUGUAGAAAGCAUGGUGUCCACAGCAGGGAGCAGGGAGAGAUGAGUGAUGGCUCUCAUC